rnacentral:rRNA from 1 species
CAUAAGAGGUCCAGCCUGCCCAGUGACAUAGUUUAACGGCCGCGGUACCCUAACCGUGCGAAGGUAGCAUAAUCACUUGUUNCUUUAAAUAGGGACUCGUAUCAACGGCAUCACGAGGGCUAUACUGUCUCCUUUCUCCAAUCAAUGAAACUGAUCUCCCCGUGAAGAAGCGGGGAUUAACCUAUAAGACGAGAAGACCCCAUGGAGCUUCAAACUCAACAUAUACCUCUACGCACUUAAACCACUUUAGCCCAAGAGAUCUCUAUGUUAGUUUUGGGUUGGGGGGACCGCGGAGUAAAAAUUAACCUCCACGACAAACGGGCUUCACGCCCUUAUCCACGAACUACAACUCUAAGAAUCAAUAAACUGAUGUUUAUGACCCGAUUAUUCGAUCAACGAACCAAGUUACCCUGGGGAUAACAGCGCAAUCUACUUCAAGAGCCCCUAUCGACAAGUAGGUUUACGACCUCGAUGUUGGAUCAGGGUAUCCUAGUGGUGCAGCCGCUACUAAUGGUUCGUUUGUUCAACGAUUAAAACCCUAC